UGGGGAAUCUUGGACAAUGGGCGCAAGCCUGAUCCAGCCAUGCCGCGUGAGUGACGAAGGCCUUAGGGUUGUAAAACUCUUUCGUCGGGGACGAUAAUGACGGUACCCGAAGAAGAAGCUCCGGCUAACUUCGUGCCAGCAGCCGCGGUAAUACGAAGGGAGCUAGCGUUGUUCGGAAUCACUGGGCGUAAAGCGCACGUAGGCGGAUAGUUAAGUCAGGGGUGAAAUCCUGGGGCUCAACCCCAGAACUGCCUUUGAUACUGGCUGUCUCGAGGUCGAGAGAGGUUGGUGGAAUUCCUAGUGUAGAGGUGAAAUUCGUAGAUAUUAGGAAGAACACCAGUGGCGAAGGCGGCCAACUGGCUCGAUACUGACGCUGAGGUGCGAAAGCGUGGGGAGCAAACAGGAUUAGAUACCCCUGUAGUCCCUGAGCGGGCUGGCAAGGCGCAU
rnacentral:rRNA from 1 species